ensembl:snoRNA
UGUCAGUGAUGAAACUUUGUCAAGUUAUGCUACUGACAUGAAGUAAUGAUACAGUAUGUCUGAGGAGA